rnacentral:rRNA from 1 species
UACAGAGGAUGCAAGCGUUAUCCGGAAUUAUUGGGCGUAAAGCGUCUGUAGGUGGCUUUUUAAGUCCGCUGUGAAAUCCCAGGGCUCAACUCUGGACAGGCGGUGGAAACUACCAAGCUGGAGUACGGUAGGGGCAGAGGGAAUUUCCGGUGGAGCGGUGAAAUGCGUAGAGAUCGGAAAGAACACCAACGGCGAAAGCGCUCUGCUGGGCCGACACUGACACUGAGGCACGAAAGCGUGGGGAGCGAACAGG